rnacentral:tRNA from 3 species
GGAGGAGUGGCAGAGUGGUCGAUUGCACCAGUCUUGAAAACUGGAGGGCUCGUAAGGGUCCCGUGAGUUCGAAUCUCACCUCCUCCGCCA